rnacentral:rRNA from 1 species
UACGAAGGGGGCUAGCGUUGUUCGGAUUUACUGGGCGUAAAGCGCACGUAGGCGGAUCGUUAAGUCGGGGGUGAAAUCCUGGAGCUCAACUCUAGAACUGCCUUCGAUACUGGCGAUCUUGAGUCCGGAAGAGGUGAGUGGAACUCCUAGUGUAGAGGUGGAAUUCGUAGAUAUUAGGAAGAACACCGAUGCGAAGGCAGCCAUCUGGACCGACACUGACGCUGAGGCGCGAAAGCGUGGGGAGCAAACAGG